GACAGCCGCCCACCUGCGUUUUUCCGAGAAAAGACUCGGUUUUCGUGUUGUGGUGCGAAGACAGUGCUACUAACGGAUUGACGACGCUGGAUUAACACCACUAAACAACGUAAAUCGGUGUUAACGGCUCCCAUUGCGGUCCCGCAUUCCCCACACAGGAGGAGUCUCUAGGAAAGCGACAGAGGAAAGAGACUCAUCGGUGUCGCUUCUGCAGUUACUCAAGUUACCACACGCCCAACGUUAAGAAGCACGAGAGGAUUCACACCGGGGAGAGGCCCUACGUGUGCCAAGUGUGCUUCAGGGGAUUUUCGGAACAGAGCAACUUGUACGGGCAUUCAAGAAGCGUUCACGAGCGUCAGAGGAGCCGCACCUACUCGGAGUGAAAAACCGGGCUUGUUGCUGUUGUCCUUGCAUGACGGACUGGCACUGGGAACGGGACAGAGAGAAGAGACGCACUUACUCAGUCUGCGGGAGUGCACUGGUACGGGAGGAUCAACCACAGCACCACUCGCAUGAGGUGUGAGCCGCCACGCCCGCACGCCCCCUGCGCCUGCUGCCGAGGAGCCUCCAGGGAGGCACCGGUGCAGCUUCUGCGAUU